GGUUCCAUAGAGUAGUGAUUAGCACAUCUGCUUUACACGCAGAAGGUCCUGGGUUCGAGCCCCAGCGGAGUCA
rnacentral:tRNA from 1 species